CUACGGGAGGCACCAGUAGGGAAUCUUCCACAAUGGACGAAAGUCUGAUGGAGCAACGCCGCGUGAGUGAUGAAGGUUUUCGGAUCGUAAAACUCUGUUGUAAGGGAAGAACACGUACGAGAGGGAAUGCUCGUACCUUGACGGUACCUUACGAGAAAGCCACGGCUAACUACGUGCCAGCGAGCCGCGGUAAUACGUAGGUGGCAAGCGUUGUCCGGAAUUAUUGGGCGUAAAGCGCGCGCAGGCGGCCUUUUAAGUCUGAUGUGAAAGCCCCCGGCUCAACCGGGGAGGGCCAUUGGAAACUGGAAGGCUUGAGUACAGAAGAGAAGAGUGGAAUUCCACGUGUAGCGGUGAAAUGCGUAGAGAUGUGGAGGAACACCAGUGGCGAAGGCGACUCUUUGGUCUGUAACUGACGCUGAGGCGCGAAAGCGUGGGGAGCAAACAGGAUUAGAUACCCUGGUAGUC
rnacentral:rRNA from 1 species